rnacentral:rRNA from 1 species
CGAACGGAUGUAGCAAUACAUUAGUGGCGCACGGGAGAGUAACGCGUGGGAACCUACCCUUUAGUUUGGGAUAACGUCGGGAAACUGACGCUAAUACCGAAUGACCCCUCCGGGGGAAAGAUUUAUCGCUAAAGGACGGGCCCGCGUAAGAUUAGCUAGUUGGUGAGGUAAUGGCUCACCAAGGCUACGAUCUUUAACUGGUCUGAGAGGAUGACCAGUCUCACUGGGACUGAGACACGGGCCCG